rfam:Pseudomonas taeanensis MS-3 contig_04, whole genome shotgun sequence.
CUGCGGCGCUGGAAUCGCUUUUGGCGCCGUAGUUUUAGCUCGAACCGCAGCUCACAAAGCCGUGGUUCUUAUUUGAAAUAUAUGACGACCAGCAGGGGCAUCCGGGCUGGUGCCCGGACUAUCUGCGGGAUCCGUGGUGGCUUUACCGAAGUCGCUAGACUUCGGAAGCCCGCGCGGUUUCUACGCCGGUGGUGUCCCCUUACCGAGGGUGACCA